UGAAAAUACAACCAACCAGAAGUGAUCGGCUCUGAGUCUGUUUCAACAGUACUUCUUCUGAAGACUGGCAGAUAAUUCACACUCUCCGUAAUAAUGAAGCCAGAAUUAAAGACAGGCCUUCAGUGCAGAUAGGCAAGAGUCAGAUUCAGAGAACCGAGGCCAGUUUGGGUCCUGGAAUUGGAGACUGCCCCUGAGGAACUGAAAUGCUCCUGUCUUCACAGCCCUCCUUCCACCCUUAUCAGGUGUACUUCAACCUGUGGGGAGCAGGACUCGCCACCGGUAACUCUGAAAAGGCAGCCCCCUGACGCUCCUCUGUUGACCCCAGAGACUCACUUCUGUUACUGAGAGUUGCCCCACCUCCACAAGUGGUUGCUCAAUGCUAUCUGAGCAGGUAACCUGAUCUUAAGACUCCUGUGGGAAACAGGCUGAUAAGAAUGCCACCGAGUGGGGCCCAGGCAGACAGGACUCCGGGGUUUCCUGUGACCACUUUCUCAACAUGCUGAACAAGCCUCAGAAUGUCUGCCUCCCCUCAGCCCCAAACCCACCCACACCCUGUUCAAAGCACCCGUCUCACCCUCUGCUCCCAAAACACCAGGGUGUCACCCUGAUCAGUGACCUGUUUGUGGGGGCCCUCUGGCCAGGAGGCUGCUCCCUGCUUCUUCACCAGCUCUAAUCCCCAGAAUCUCCUCUAGGCCUGCCCCACAGACAAUCCUACAGAACACAGACUGAGUGUCUGUGUCCCCAAAUUCAUACUGAAAUCUCACGUCAAAGUGAUGGUGCUAGGAAGCCGGGUAUUUGGGAGAUGUCUUUUUUUUUUUUAUAAUAUUCUUUUAGUUGUAGAUGAACACAUACCUUUACUUCGUUUAGUUUGUUUUUAUGUGGUGCUGGGUAUUAGGUGCAGGACAGGCUGAAGGAAUGUUAGCUGCAGGAUGACCACACUCCCAAACCCCCUCUGUCUGGUCCUUUAUCACCUGUUUGUGUCAAGGCUGAACACUUCACCCCCCUGCUCAAGGCUGAGCACUCAACCCCCUCCCCCCUGCUGAAGGCCGAACACUCAACCCCCCUUGGGCCAAGAAGGCAGCUUGCAGACCCAGAGGCCCCAUUAGAUUUGGGCUAUAAAAACUCCCUCCUGCCGGCCCUCUCUGUUGGUCUCUGUCGCGCUCCCCCCCCCCUCUCUCUCUCUCACUCUCUCUCCUUCUCUUUUUCUUUCUCUCUUUUCUCCUCUGUUACACUGCUGCAAUAAAGGUCUCUUAGUCACUCUGAGUGUUGUGGUCACUUUCCUUUCGUUGGUGCCAAAACCUGGGAAGAGGGUUAAAACCCACUUUUAGGGUCCCUCUUCCGGAAGUGCCACUCACUGGUCAGCCUGAACCCAUUUUCUUGACCGCCAGAACUCCAUCCACCCCGGCCUUCAAUUGGUGAGUUUCCCCUUCGUGGAAACUCAGUGGUGGCAUCGGGAGGAUCUGACCGUUGAUUGUCCGGCAAACCUCUUCACCCACCACAGCCUGUAAGGCCACGGUGGCCCUCAGGGACUCCUUCCUUGGGCAGAUUGGACUCUUGGGUUCAAAAUUAUUCCCCUUCCCCUUCUCAGCUGGUAGUUUACCAGCAUAGGCUUUGUAGGUCUCCCUCAAAGGACUGGUAACUGUUAGGUUGAUGGUGGUGACUUGAGGGCGACUUAGAACAAAGCAGCCUGUGGGGGGGGGGGACAUAUCAAUCAGGUGCCAGCGGAAAUGCCUGUCAAUCAGCCAGAUCUCCUGACUAAUGCCUGUCAAUCAGCAGGACCCCCUGGCCAAUCCUGGAGUUCAGCCAACUCCCCUGACCAACUCCAAGGGGACAAGGGACCCUAAAAACACCUUUUCCUGUCCCAAGCCCUUCCCUUCCUGCUGUAAAACCCAUAAAAGUCCAGUCCAGUCGAGCUGCCACGCGGUUUCUCCUCAGACCCUUCCCCUGUCCCCUCUGUGGGUCCGAGUUCUGCCCGGGAGUGAGAUCUCAAUGAAGCUCAAACAAGCUGAGGAGAGCCCUCAGACCCCUAUCCAAGAUCUGGUGAAAAUGGCCUUUAAAGUUGCUUUGUCAUCAGUGAAAACAGGUUACUAAGAAUUAAAGUCCCUCACAGGCUUUUUGGGAUACUCACUCCCGUCUUCCCCUCUGCUCUACCUGUUCUGCUGCUCAAGUUUCCUUGCUAGGAAAAUCCCAAACCCCUUUCCCAUUCUUCUUUCACAUCUCCUUCCUCAUCCUCAGAUCCACGGAGCUGCUCUCAGCCCCGCCUUCCCCUCUUCCCACUCCCUACCCAGGCCACAGAAAAGUCUUAACUGACCUUCUCCAGAAUCUUCACCAUGGCUGAUUUUAGGACUUUCAGCAAAAGAAUCUCUACAAAAGAGUUCAGUGUAGAUAAACUUCCCUCUUUUCGUGUUGCCCUGUUUUACUUGGUCACUGGCUGGAAAAAUCAGCACUCCAGGUGCUGGACACCCCCUUACUAGUUUUUCACAAAAAUAUGUAGGCCUCUGGCCUUGAGCUGGGGCUUCUCAGAGAUGGCUACAUUUCUAAGAUAAGGAAGUUACCAACUGGGCUCCAUGGUAACAGCUGGAGGGGGAGGAAAGAAAGGGAAGGAAAAGCUCUCCUCUUCCCAGGUGUCCUUGAAGGGUUAACUUGCCCAGAACAGAGAAAAAAAAAAAUAUUAUAUCAAGCUGGUGUUCUCCAAAAGGUUGCAUGGUAAUUUUAGGCUUAUAAAAAUAACAUAUUGGAGAUUUAUUUAUAUCAUUUAAUUUUCUAUAACUGGACCUGUUAUCAAUAAGAUAAAUAUGAAGUUCUAUACACUGGGUACAAUUUAAAUGUAAUAUCAUAUUGUGUUAGCUAGUAUUCAUAUGACUUCAAGCAACAAUAUAUAUAAACUUUAUAAAAUGAUAUUUAAGAAACAAAGAUCAACUUCAAUACUAAAACACUUUACCUAAGAUUUAUAAAGAGCCUUGCCUUACCAGAGAUAAGGCUCUGCCUCCCAUCUUACUACAUGUCAAAAUGACUUUGCUGGCUAUUUAUGAUCAAGAUUUAAAGUUAAAUUAAAAGGGCCAAGAAAACCAAUAUUUGGCUCUGGCCCUCUGAGUCAGUCUGAAUCCAGGGAACAGGGAACUUCUCUAAAGAGCUUUGCAACCUGGGCCACAUAACCUCCUGAUCAGGGAGAUUAAUGAGACCACUGGAGAAUGAAAAGCCAAUCAGUGCACUUGCUGUGAAUAGGAGGGUCAUUGGAGACAGGAGACAUCCCUGAAGCUUCCAAGGGAAGCCACAUGGUCAAGCAAGACCUGGACCCAUCCACAAAUGGCACUAGCAGAACUAAGAAGCUGUUCUCAAGUUCCCCCAUGACUGACCCCUAUGGGAACGUGGCUGACUCUUAACAAUAGAUAGAAACAAAGUCAAUUUUGACCAGCUUGAUCUUAAACACCUACCCAAAACAGUUAAGCCAAAACACAGUCAUUCCUGGGAGUAAUGAAGGUCAAGAACAACUAGAAAAGAGGAGACAGCAACUAAGGCAACAGGCUCCAUGGGGAAUGUUCAGUCAAGUAUGGCCUUGGCUCCUCCCCCUCGCAGGACCCCUAUUAGUCCUCUUUCUCUUCUCCUAUUAGGACCAUGUCUAUUAAAUUGCCUACAGAAGUUCCUGCAAGAUCAGAUACACAAAUUCACCAACCAGUCAGUCAAUUAACUACUUCUUCAAGACUACCAGCCCUGGUGCCCAAGACAGAGACCUAUGACUCCUGACCAACUCCUCUAGCUCCAGAGACUCUACCCCCACCUAAAACCCUCCCUAAUCCCUUUUCCAGAUUUUACAACACCUCUUUCACUUCCUAGGAAUGAGAACUACUCUCCGGCAGGUCCACUCUGCUUGUUCUACCUGCUCUACAGCAUCCCCACAAGGAAGCAUCAAACCUAAGCUCCCCACACCUCAGAUGAGGAGCCACCAGCCAGGCGAAGACUGGUAGAUCAACUCCACCCACAUGCCUAGGCACAAAAAGCUUCGCUACCUACUUACUUUGGUUGAUACUUUUUCAGGUUGGAGAGAAGCCUUCCCUACCUCCAGGGAAACUGCUGACACUGUAGCCUCCAUCCUCAUUCAGCAGAUAUUUCCAGGUUCGAACUUCCUACCUCCACCCAGUCAGACAACAGUCCGGCCUUCACUUCUCAGGUUGUUCAACUAGUCUCCAAAGGCCUCAACGUCACUUAGUCACUUAGAGGCUCCACAUCCCCCACCAGGUAAGGCUGAGAGGCCUAAUGUCAUUCUCCAGGAUCAUCUCACUAAACUUGCUAUUGAUCUCAGGCUCUUCUGGCCCAAUCUCCUGCAGUUGGCCCUCAUCUGAAUUCAGGCAGCCCCUGGAGCUCCCUCAGGCCUUAGCCCCUUUGAGCAACUCUGUGGGUGCCCUUUCUUAACCAACCAAAGCUUUCCCAUCACUCCUCCUCCCUUGUGUCCUACCUGCUGUGAUAGUAGGAGCAAAUGUGACUCCAUUUUGUUUUAUGACUUCAUCCUGUAAAACAACCAGGACAAGUAGAAGGGUCAUGACUGGAGCAAGAUGUUCUUCUCCUUUUGCUAUAGAAACCUUUAAGAAUAUGGAACUACCUAAUGGGGCAUUGUUUCUAUAACUAGGGUAACGGGGCUCUGUUUCUGUAACUGGGGUGACUGGGCUAACUGUGAUUGGUUAGGCUUCCCCCUGCUUGACUGCACUGUCCCGCUUCUGUAACCUGGCUGGCUUGCAUUGGCUAGACCCCCCAAACAUCCCUUUUGCGGUUUUCAGGCUUCUAAGGAGUGCCCUUGCAAUUGUUCGGGACUGAUCAAGGGAACAGCUUUAUGUUCUGGUCAGCCGCCACCGGUGUGCUUCAAUAAAGGCUUGAUUCGAUUAUA